rnacentral:rRNA from 1 species
GACGAACGCUGGCGGCGUGCUUAACACAUGCAAGUCGAACGAUGAAACCUAGCUUGCUAGGUCGAUUAGUGGCGAACGGGUGAGUAACACGUGACUAACCUGCCCCUUUCUCUGGGAUAACGCUCCGAAAGGAGUGCUAAUACCGGAUACUCACACCGAGGCACAUGCCUUGGUGUGGAAAGUUUUUCGGAAAGGGAUGGAGUCGCGGCCUAUCAGCUUGUUGGUGAGGUAACGGCUCACCAAGGCGACGACGGGUAGCCGGCCUGAGAGGGCGACCGGCCACACUGGGACUGAGACACGGCCCAGACUCCUACGGGAGGCAGCAGUGGGGAAUAUUGCACAAUGGGCGCAAGCCUGAUGCAGCGACGCCGCGUGAGGGAUGAAGGUCUUCGGAUUGUAAACCUCUUUCAGUAGGGACGAAGCGAAAGUGACGGUACCUAAAGAAGAAGCACCGGCUAACUACGUGCCAGCAGCCGCCGCUG